rnacentral:rRNA from 1 species
GCCAACAAUCUAGCCCGACCCAAAACCAAUGAUAAUCCACUAUCUUUUAAUAUUAAUUAAAACAUUCUUAUAUAUUAGUAAAGGAGAUUGAAAUUUUUUUAGGAGCUAUACUUUAGUACCGCAAGGGAAUGAUGAAAUAAAAAUGAAAAAAUUUGCAAGCACAAAAAAGUAGAGAUAAAUACUCGUACCUUUUGCAUCAUGGUUUAACUAGUCUAACCAAGCAAAAAGACCUAAAGUUUGACCCCCCGAAACUAAGUGAGCUACUUCGAGGCAGCUUUAUGAGCCAACCCGUCUCUGUUGCAAAAGAGUGGGAAGACCUCCAAGUAGGGGUGACAGACCUAACGAACUUAGUGAUAGCUGGUUGCUCGAGAAAGGGAUUUAAGUCCAGCCUAAAAUUAUUCAAAUUUAAUUAAAUGUCAUAAUGAUUUUAGAGUAAUUCAAGUAAGGUACAGCCUGCUUGAAACAGGAUACAACCUGGAUAUGAGGGUAAACAUUUUCUUUAAGCGACAAAGUGGGCCUAAAAGCAGCCACCUUUCAAAAAGCGUCACAGCUUUAUCGCACAGUAAACUAAUCCCAAACAUGUUAAUGAACCCCACCUCCAUAUGCAAGCAAUUCUAUAUUACUAUAGAAACUUUUAUGGUUAAAACUAGUAACAAGAAGAAGAACUUCUCCACAAUGCAAGUGUAAAUCAGAAAGGACCCACCACUGAUAAUUAACACCUAUGAAUUCUAUAGUAGUAACCCAACAAGAAAACUCUACUUAACCUAAUGUUAACCUAACACGAGAGCAUUACAGGAAAGAUUAAAAAAGAAAGAAGGAACUCGGCAAACUUUAACCCCGCCUGUUUACCAAAAACAUCGCCUCUUGAAUAUUAUAAGAGGUCCAGCCUGCCCAGUGACUCUGUUCAACGGCCGCGGUAUCCUAACCGUGCGAAGGUAGCGUAAUCACUUGUUCUUUAAAUGAGGACUAGUAUGAAUGGCACCACGAAGGUUAUACUGUCUCCUUUCUUUAAUCAGUGAAACUAAUCUCUCCGUGAAGAAGCGGGGAUAUAAUUAUAAGACGAGAAGACCCUAUGGAGCUUUAAACGUGAGUAACAAUUGCCCGCCAUAAUAUUUUUCCCCGGAAAUUAACCACAAUACUUAGGCAUCUUGAUUACAAGUUUUAGGUUGGGGUGACCGCGGAGCAGAGAAUAACCUCCGCAGUGAAUGGAACUUAUUUCCUAAACCCAGGGCUACGACCCUAAGCAUCAAUAAAUUGACACUAAUUGACCCAAUAUUUUGAUCAAUGAACCAAGUUACCCUAGGGAUAACAGCGCAAUCCACUUCAAGAGCCCCUAUCAGACAAGUGGGUUUACGACCUCGAUGUGGGAUCAUGGUAUCCCAGUGGUGCAGCACGCUACUAGAGGUUCG